UUAGCUUGCUUUUGAAGAUCAGCGGCGGACGGGUGAGUAACACGUGGGCAACCUGCCUGUAAGACUGGGAUAACUUCGGGAAACCGGAGCUAAUACCGGAUAAUCCUUUCCCUCACAUGAGGGAAAGCUGAAAGACGGUUUCGGCUGUCACUUACAGAUGGGCCCGCGGCGCAUUAGCUAGUUGGUGAGGUAACGGCUCACCAAGGCAACGAUGCGUAGCCGACCUGAGAGGGUGAUCGGCCACACUGGGACUGAGACACGGCCCAGACUCCUACGGGAGGCAGCAGUAGGGAAUCUUCCGCAAUGGACGAAAGUCUGACGGAGCAACGCCGCGUGAACGAUGAAGGCUUUCGGGUCGUAAAGUUCUGUUGUUAGGGAAGAACAAGUACCGGAGUAACUGCCGGUACCUUGACGGUACCUAACCAGAAAGCCACGGCUAACUACGUGCCAGCAGCCGCGGUAAUACGUAGGUGGCAAGCGUUGUCCGGAAUUAUUGGGCGUAAAGCGCGCGCAGGCGGUUCCUUAAGUCUGAUGUGAAAGCCCCCGGCUCAACCGGGGAGGGUCAUUGGAAACUGGGGAACUUGAGUGCAGAAGAGGAGAGCGGAAUUCCACGUGUAGCGGUGAAAUGCGUAGAGAUGUGGAGGAACACCAGUGGCGAAGGCGGCUCUCUGGUCUGUAACUGACGCUGAGGCGCGAAAGCGUGGGGAGCGAACAGGAUUAGAUACCCUGGUAGUCCACGCCGUAAACGAUGAGUGCUAAGUGUUAGAGGGUUUCCGCCCUUUAGUGCUGCAGCAAACGCAUUAAGCACUCCGCCUGGGGAGUACGGCCGCAAGGCUGAAACUCAAAGGAAUUGACGGGGGCCCGCACAAGCGGUGGAGCAUGUGGUUUAAUUCGAAGCAACGCGAAGAACCUUACCAGGUCUUGACAUCCUCUGACAACCCUAGAGAUAGGGCGUUCCCCUUCGGGGGACAGAGUGACAGGUGGUGCAUGGUUGUCGUCAGCUCGUGUCGU
rnacentral:rRNA from 2 species